GCUCCUAUGGCCGAUUGGUAAGAGCGUCCGCCUCGGAUGCGGGAGGUCGUGUGUUCAAUCCACAAAUGGGUCA